rnacentral:rRNA from 1 species
AGCGAAAUUUAGUAGCGAAGUAGCUGAUUUCACACUGUCAAGAAAAGUCUCUAUCGAGGUUAAAGGUACCCGUACCGCAAACCGACACAGGUGGGUGAGGAGGGUAUCCUAAGGCCACCGAGAGAACUGUGGUGAAGGAACUCGGCAAAAUGACCCCGGAACUUAGGGAGAAGGGGUGGCACCGUCAGGUGGCCGCAGAGAAUGGGCCCAAGUGACUGUUUACCAAAAACAUAGGUUUCUGCUAAGUCGCAAGACGAUGUAUAGGAGCUGACGCCUGCCCGGUGCUGGAAGGUUAAGGGGAUCUGUUAGAGCAAUCGAAGCAGUGAACUUAAGCCCCAGUAAACGGCGGCCGUAACUAUAACGGUCCUAAGGUAGCGAAAUUCCUUGUCGGGUAAGUUCCGACCCGCACGAAAGGCGUAACGAUUUGGGCACUGUCUCA